rnacentral:misc_RNA from 1 species
GUAGGUGAACCUGCGGAAGGAUCAUUAGUAGUAUUGGACGUGCCGAUAGGCGCGUCUCAGAAGCGAGGCGAAUGCGUAGCAUGAGCGAGCGUAGCAGCGAAGCUGCAAAGCAGCGCAGCAACUGUCUUGCUCGUGCGAAGCAUGAGCCAGCGGCGUGGGUUGGGGAAUGUGGAUGUGGUGUUGAGGUAGUAGUCGUGGAGGUACUUGUUACUGACACAACCACUCCCCCUCACCACCCCUCCCACCACCC